rnacentral:lncRNA from 1 species
CGGAUUAGCCUGUUUCUUAACUGGCGAUGCUAACGGUGUUUCGGAGCUGAAUUAAUCCUAUUUAUUAACAGCAGGUGGACGGAGCUGUGCUGGUUAAAUUAGUAGGUUCUGGGGUUUGUUAUAAUGUGUGAAUUAUGGCUUUAAUUCACUCCAGUCUUUAGUUAUUUACCUCAGAAUCCCGGCAUGCAGCUAUCGGCUCAAUGCUAGGUAACAGCCGAGCUCAGCAGUGCGGGUUGGAGCGUGUUAGCCUGGAUGCUAACUGGAUAUGGACAAUGCACGUCCACAUACUGCUGCCAUCUCAAAUCUGCAGGAUCUGAGUGAGAAUAUUCCAGCUACAUGGGAUGGAUUAUUACAGGACUCCAUUAGGAACCUCUACAACUCCAGGCUGAGACUUUUGGCAUGUUGCAUUACACAUACUUAAUGACGAUGAGCAAGAGAUUCUCAAAUCAGUCAAAUGUUUAUCAAAUUUAUCAUUAAUUUUUUUCUAGUAACCUUUACGGAAUCUUUCUUUCAAAUAGUAACCAACAUUUUCUUCUGUGUGCAAAUAUUUUUGCAACUAUUUCGUUGACAAAAAAGUGUAUGCCCCUUAUACUCAGUCUUUUACUCAGUAUUACUGGGGUAGACAAAGCAGCAGCCGUGUGUGUGUGUGUCAGUCAUCUCAGAGUGGUCAGAGUCUAGACUGGCCACUGCUCAUUGAUCCGUGAAGCUCCGGGGAGCUGGGUGUGGACCGCUGCUGUGCUCUGGGCUCAGCUGCUGGUGGAUUAUAGAUGAGCACAACCAAUUAAAUUCUGCCUCAAUAUAUAAUAUAACAUCCAGACACGGUUAAGGAAAUAUGUGUUGCUGAAAAUAAAAUAAAAUAAGAUAUACUUUACA